AUGGCUCUAUCCUAGAUAUGCACAUUCAUCUACCCCCGACAUCUGUGCAGAGCGUGGAACAGCGUAUCUCGGUUUGUAAUUGCUUGCUACCCUGAGAUGACAAAAUGAACUCCUGAUAUUUGGGAAAAAUCAGACUUUGCUUCCUAGGCAAAGUGAUGAUGCUCACCUUCUUGGUGUCCUCUCACUUGGUCUGGGCCUGGGUUUCAGUAGAACCUUCAUCAAAGGCCUGGGAACUUCAUUCAUUGCCUCAUGUGAAGUUAGCAGUGGCUGCCAUGUUACACCCCGUGGUAUAACUCCAUUUCUUCCCUCAGCAAAUUCCCUGGUCCUACAAAUCCCCUUCCUUCAACAGGGGCUCCACCAGGCUACUGGGAUAGUCGGUGUGUGUCAUGCGUUAUUGUAAGACUUGAGGAUGGAAAUCCAGGGCUUUACAAGCCGUCCAGACAGAAUCCUAGCCGUGCAUUUUUAAUGAGCUCCAGAUGAUGUCUGUGCUGUUGGUUUAAGAUGGCGCCUGUCUACAAUGGCUUCAACGUCAACCA